AAAUGAAUAGACGGGGGUCCGCACAAGCGGUGGAACAUGUGGUUUAAUUCGACACUACGCGAGGAACCUUACCUGGGCUUGACAUGUACUUGACCCGUGUAGAAAUACAUUUUCUUGUAGUAAUACAAGCGGGUACACAGGUGCUGCAUGGCUGUCGUCAGCUCGUGUCGUGAGAUGUUGGGUUAAGUCCUUUAACGAGCGCAACCCUUGCCACUAGUUGCAACGUCGAAAGAUGGCACUCUAGUGGGACUGCCUGGGAAACCAGGAGGAAGGUGGGGAUGACGUCAAGUCCUCAUGGCCCUUAUGCCCAGGGCUACACACGUGUUACAAUGGCGAGUACAACGAGGAGCAAGCUCGCGAGAGUAAGCAAAUCUCUUAAAACUCGUCUCAGUUCGGAUUGAAGUCUGCAACUCGACUUCAUGAAGUUGAAAUCGCUAGUAAUCGCGCAUCAGAACGGCGCGGUGAAUACGUUCUCGGACCUUGUACACACCGCCCGU
rnacentral:rRNA from 1 species